ensembl:lncRNA
AGAGGAAGAGAGAAAUGUUGAGCUUACGAUACUUCACCCACACUGCUUUUUAUGCAGCUGAAAGUAGAAGCUGAUGUAACUUCUGCUUCCUGUCCUUGUACUGUAUAUCCCAUCUCAAUUGCAGUUCUGGCUCUAUUGUUUUUUUUUAAUUUGGGGGUGUGGGUAAGGGUUGGUUUUGUUUGUUCAUUUGGUUUUUAAACCAAUGCCUCACAUUCUGUGAACUGAAGUGAUAGAAAAUUUUUAGAUUUUUUAUGGGUUAGAAUGUUUUGGGGUUUUUUUUCCUGAUGUUUUUUCUUAUCCAACAAGCAUAUUACAGAGUUCCAAAGACUGCAGAGUUCUCAAAAGAUAUGCAGCAGAACUGGCAGUUCCACUUUGGCAUCCAUCAGACUCAUUUAUCUUUAGCCACACUUUGAAUUUUCAUUUUUCUUUUUUUUCUACCACAUACAGAAAAUUUAACCUUCCCAGAGGAGGAUCCAAAUUUAUGCUACAGUGCUCAGCUCCUCUUUUAAGGAGAGAGGAAAUAAUAGAAAAUAACUGUAAGAAACAAUAAGAAAUGCCCAGUGCUUUAUUCUAUUGGGAUCUAGUCCACCUAUGGAAAUAAUCAUUGAACGUCAUGCGGUCAUAAACACAGGGUGUGCCACAUACAGCGUAGAUUCUAAGGUCUUCUGUGUGAACAGGCUCUUACUGUUCUCUGUUUCUCAGAAUUGAACUGUACAAUGAUCUGGGACACAAAGGGGAAAAGAAAAGAGGAAACCUAAUUGUAGCUGAUGGCAGGUGACUCUAGUGCGAGUGCUGGCUAACAGACCUGACCAGUGUGCCCCUUGAGAGGUAUGCAAGUUUCACUGGAACAUACUAUGAGUCUACCAUGUUAUGAAACGUACAUUUAAGGAUGGUGAGAGCAGUAACAAGAGAAAACAUAGCAAGUUUAUUGGAAGAAUCUGUUCAAGAGGGCUAAUUCUCCCAAACUGAACAUACAUGGAUACUGAAGAGAAACUUCUAGCUCUGUCUGGAGACACAGUAAGAAAUGCUGUGGCCUUGUGCAACAUUGCAAAGAUUCAGACUGGACAGGUGAGAUCUUGAAUCCAUUGCAAGCAGAGGAAAUGUUGUGAGGAACUUCACUUGGGCCACACAGUAGGUAGCUGCAUUUCAGCCUCUGAAGCAAAGGUCAGGUACGGAUGAAAAAAUCUUAUGCACUAUGAAUCCUAACUACAGGAAUGUUCAAGUUUCAGAAAUAUUGAGAACUCACACAGAAUAGUUUUGAAUACUCAGAUUUCCAGUUAUUGAGUUUAUGAAUAUUUUUGACAUUUGGUGAUACUGGAACCUUAUCUUACUGUCUAUUCUGCAACACACAGUUAUUGUUAUGGAGAAACAUUUUUCAUGUAAUUGAGUUUUCACAUUAGCACUAUUGCAUUCAUUAUUCAGAUCUGUGAGGACGUACAAUAUAUAUACAUAUACACCAAUUCUGUAUAGAAAUGUGUAACACAUUCCUAUGAGAAACACUGUACUAUAUUGGAUGACUCUUCUAGGAAAUACUAGAGUCUUCUUCUAUGAGCAUAUAAAAUACAAGACAAUUUGCCACAAAUGUUAUAAGCUGAGAAUUUACUUGCAUAAUGCAGAUAUAAGGUAUAUAUAAGAUAAAUUUUAAAUAUAAAUGAAGCAGAACUCUCAUGCCUCAUGACAGGAUUGAAUAUAGGCUAUAGUCUUAGGGCAGUCUACCUGCAAUAAAGAAAAAAUAUAUUUGGUAUUUUGAUUAAAGUCUUUUUGAUAAAAGCUGGGGUACUGCAGUUCUGGAAAGCUAUGUUUUAUUCUCUACUUUACUAGUCCAAGUGGAAAAAAAAUAUUAUUCAAAUUUAAAUGGAGAAUCUCUAUGUAAAAGAAAAACUGUUUCAGUGCUAUUGCCAUUUUGGAAAGCAACUGUUUAAGACGGAGCUUGUGAAUGAGUUUCAAGAGAAUUUUUUUUUUUUUUAAUGCUGUAUGUUUCAAGGGUUAGGAUAGUUGGAAGACUGAUAGCAUACUCAAUACACCCCAUUUCUGCCUAUCUCUGUAAUUCUGCUUAGUACUCAGUUUUGAAAAAAUACCAGCACAGACGUGCUUCUCUCACCCUGCAUAAAACGAGAUGAGAAAGUUUUCAUGAAAGUACCGGUUGUGUCCAAUCUUUUUUUUUUUUUUUUUUUUUGAUCUUUUCACAUUUCACAAGUAGCAUAAUCUUGCACUAAAUCUCCUUGAUCCUGUUUGAUCUAGGAAGAAACAUUAUCACCUACAUUUUAAUGGAAAAGAAAUGACAACAUUUCAGGGUAACUGUACUUUUUGGUCUGAAAAAGAAUCAGCCAUUAAACAAAUUGUUCUACAUAUUCUGAACUGUACACAUUAAAAUAUUGCACUGGGCAAUACUGUAGUUUAUUUCAGUUAAGUAAAAUGAUAAAUUUCAAUUUAUUUCUGUGAAAUACUUUAAGACAGUAGUUUCUUAACACAAUCUACUUGCUUUUCUAAAUAUGUUUGCCAAACAAAGGAAGUUGAACUCUUUCAAUACUCAGUAAAUUCCAGAACACCUUUAAACACUCAUCUGUUGCAUUUAGUCAAUGCAUAAGUCAAAUUCUCUCUAUUUGGCCAUCUCUAUGUAAAGUAGUACUGGGGGUUGCUAUUAUUGUAUAUUAUCUAUUCAGACCUAGGAACUUAUAUAAAGAAAGGAUUUUCUUUUAAAGAACUUAAAACAUUGUUGGAUAAUCUGCAAACAGACUGAAAGAAGAGGCGAUAGAAAAAUUAUGGGAGAAGAAGUCAUGGAGUACUGCCUACACUUUUCUAAUUCUGUUCUUUAUCCCUCUCUGACAUUCAAAAUAAAUGAAUACCUUCUUGCAAUACUGUGCUAUGCUGGACUCUUUAUUUUGGUAAAAGUGUAAUUAAGGAGCAAUUUGAAGAAAAAAUCUGGGUCUCAAGAAAUACUGGAAAGACUUCUAAGAACUUUCAAAUUGCUCUCUGCUCUCUCUAACUGAAGGUAUACUUCGGUCUGAUGGAAACAUACCUUCUGAGAAGAUUUUUGUGAGCAAUGUAAAAGCUUUCUUAUCCUGUGGUAAGAUUAACAUUCGGAUGUAUUGCAAGUUAUGCAGCUGGAUCUUCCUGACAAAUUUAAUAAAUACAAAGAAAAAGGCUGCUUUGUGUUAAUUUUUACUUAAAAUUCACACUACUGCUGAAUUAAAGUUAAUGAAUGUAGCUUCAUAAUCAACAAAAAUCUUUUCAUCAAUCUGGCUGCCUAAUGAAAUAUUUUUCUCAUAUUCCCACAGGUAAAUAAUGAUUGUUGGGAUGCAGAUGUACAAAUGCGCUUUUGUCAUAGAUUUUAAAUCAACAAGGAAAUCUAAAAUAAGAAGUUAGUUUGUCACAAUCCUUUCAUUAUAGCACUUCUUUCAGGAAGGAUCUAUUAAUCAUACUAAUUCAGCUCCCUACCCAUGCUUGCUGUCCAAAACAUAACUAAGUCCUCCUGGCAGUGGUUUCUGCUCUACUGCCAAACCUUUGUCACUCACCUUUCCUCUUCAGCAAUUGAAACUUGUCAUCGAUUCAAUGUCUUCAUAACCAUUAACUGUUAUUUUAAUUUUGGUUAACAAUUAGGACAUUCAAUGGAGAUCUAGUUACAAAGCUGAUCAUUUUUAAAUUACUUCAUAUAAUCUACAGUAAGCUUUCCAAAAUGUUUGAAAGUAAUGAAGAUCCUUAGGAGCUUAAGUGGUACUUUUAGUUACUUGAAGCUCACGUUGAUGCUGUGACAUCUGCAGAAGUUUCAGAUGAGGUUACAGCCUUGAGUGUACCAACAUAUCUAAAUAGCAAGUCUCAUCUGAGGCCUCCACCCAUGUUGCUGGGAGCUGCAUUAACAUUAUGCUCUUGUCCUUCUUGGUUCCUUUUCAGUCUACUAUUUUACUGACUCUUUGGCAACUACUUUAUCCUGCUCUAUGUUCCUAAGAGUUUCUUUUUGAACCACUCAAUACUCAGCGUACACUUUCAGUGUACUGUAGAUGGAAAUAUACAUAAACAGGAGGGGGAACAACUGUUUAGGUGGGUGGAUAGUGUUAGGACAAGGGGGAAUGCUUUUAAACUAAGGCAGUGGAGAUUUAGGUUAUAUACUAGGAAGAAGUUUACCAUACAGAGAGUGGUGACGCACUGGAACAGGUUGCCCAAGGAGGUUGUGGAUGCCCCAUCCCUGGAGGCAUUCAAGGCCAGGCUGGAUGUGAUCCUGGGUAGCCUGGUCUGAUUGUUGACAACCCUGCACGUAGCAAGGGGGUUGAAACUAGAUGAUCUUUAAGGUCCUUUUCAACGCAGACCAUUCUAUGAUUCUAUGAAAUAUAUUUCCCUUCUGUCUGAAAGAUUAUUUAUUCUUCCCACAACUAAGUGCCCUAAAAAGCUGCCAACAGAAGAGUUGAGUGGAGAACUGUGCGCAGAACACAUCAGGUAUCUUUUUCUUGUGCUGUAUUAAGCAAAAUGGAAAAAACGGAAUUUCUGUUGGAUAUAAAUUACUAAACUCAUUUGAUAUGGUAAAUUAGUCUGAAUAUUAAAUACUGCACUGCACCAUUUUCCACUGAGAAAGAGAGGCAAUGAAACAGAUGCAUUAUUUUCCAACUCAAGCUUUUCUCAUUAUUCUGCAGACCUUUUUUCUUUGCAUUAUUAUCUCUCAUUAAGCCAUGAAAAUAUUAAGUAUUGUGUAUUGUUCUUGCAGAUUUUUUUUUCCCUGAGGCCUUACAGUAGCAGAAGAAGAUGAGAACCCU